CCCUUAGAUGUCCUGGGCCGCACGCGCGCUACACUGAUGCAUUCAACGAGUUUUACCUUGGCCGAGAGGCCUGGGCAAUCUUUUAAACCUGCAUCGUGAUAGGGAUAGAUUAUUGCAAUUAUUAAUCUUGAACGAGGAAUUCCUAGUAAACGCAAAUCAUCAAUUUGCACUGAUUACGUCCCUGCCCUUUGUACACACCGCCCGUCGCACCUACCGAUUGAAUGGUCCGGUGAAGCCUCGGGAUUGUGGCCAGUUCACUUUAUUGGGAGUUGGCUGUGAGAACUUGUCUAAACCUUAUCAUUUAGAGGAAGGUGAAGUCGUAACA
rnacentral:rRNA from 1 species